UACGGAGGGUGCAAGCGUUGCUCGGAAUCACUGGGCGUAAAGCGCACGCAGGCGGCGAGGCAAGUCGGAUGUGAAAGCCCUGGGCUCAACCCAGGAAGUGCAUUCGAAACUGCCUUGCUUGAGUUCGGGAGAGGGUGGUGGAAUUCCUGGUGUAGAGGUGAAAUUCGUUGAUAUCAGGAGGAACACCGGCGGCGAAGGCGGCCACCUGGCCCGAUGCUGACGCUCAUGUGCGAAAGCGUGGGGAGCAAACAGG
rnacentral:rRNA from 1 species